CAAGACACAACAACAACAAUGAACAACAUCAUCAUCCUCAUCUGGACUCUGACUCUCUGCAUUCAGGAGAUCUGGGGACAAAUGACAGUGACUCAGAAUCCAGCGAUAAAAUCAAUCAGUCAAGGAGAAACUGUUACUAUCAGCUGUAAAACCAGUCAGACACUUUCUGGCUGUAGUAACUGUGUGUCUUGGUAUCAGCAGAAACCUGGAGAAGCUCCUAAACUCCUCAUUUAUUACACAAGCAGCCUCCAGUCAGGAACUCCAUCUAGAUUCAGUGGCAGUGGAUCUGGCACUGAUUUCUCUCUGACCAUCAGUGGAGUCCAGACUGAAGAUACAGGAGAUUAUUACUGUAUGAGUCUACAUCAGAUCAGUAGUAGCUGGGUGUUCACACAGUGAUAAAAAGUCGUACAAAAACCUCCGUCAGUCAGAGUCACAGUGACUGCACUGAUACAGCUGAGAGACACUGCAGCUGCUGAUGGAGGUUAUUUCUUAUAACAGUAUCAUUUACUUAAAAUAUGUUUAAGUCUUGUACUGAUUUAUGAGUCUUUCUGGAUCUUUAAUGUGUUACACACUCAUAGCUUCACCAUUGAUGUAUUUAAUUCAUCAUUCAAAAUGUUCCACCAUUAAACAAUCCAAUGAAAUCUGACGAUACUUACAGCAUGCAGUGAAACAGCAGCCAGAGUCCUCGUGUCCUUUCAAUCCAGAAUUACACUAAAUGAGUUCUGCAUAACAUCUCCU